rnacentral:rRNA from 1 species
UUAAGUGAAUAAGGGCGCACGGUGGAUGCCUUGGCACUAGGAGCCGAUGAAGGACGGGACUAACACCGAUAUGCUUUGGGGAGCUGUAAGUAAGCUAUGAUCCAGAGAUUUCCGAAUGGGGGAACCCAAUAUCUUUUAUAGGAUAUUACUUUUUCAGUGAAUACAUAGCUGAUUAGAGGUAGACGCAGAGAACUGAAACAUCUUAGUACCUGCAGGAAGAGAAAGAAAAUUCGAUUCCCUGAGUAGCGGCGAGCGAAACGGGAAGAGCCCAAACCAACAAGCUUGCUUGUUGGGGUUGUAGGACUCCGAUAUGGUAGUCUGUUAGUAUAGUUGAAGGAUUUGGAAAAUUCCGCUAAAGAGGGUGAAAGCCCCGUAGACGAAAUGCUGACAACACCUAGGAGGAUCCUGAGUACGGCGGAACACGAGAAAUUCCGUCGGAAUCCGCGGGGACCAUCCCGCAAGGCUAAAUACUCCCUAGUGGACCGAUAGUGAACCAGUACCGUGAGGGAAAGGUGAAAAGCACCCCGGAAGGGGAGUGAAAUAGAUCCUGAAACCGUGUGCCUACAACAAGUCAAAGCUCGUUAAUGAGUGAUGGCGUGCCUUUUGUAGAAUGAACCGGCGAGUUACGAUUGCAUGCGAGGUUAAGUCGAAGAGACGGAGCCGCAGCGAAAGCGAGUCUGAAUAGGGCGAAUGAGUAUGUAGUCGUAGACCCGAAACCAUGUGAUCUACCCAUGUCCAGGUUGAAGGUGCGGUAAAAACGCACUGGAGGACCGAACCCACGUACGUUGAAAAGUGCGGGGAUGAGGUGUGGGUAGCGGAGAAAUUCCAAACGAACUUGGAGAUAGCUGGUUCUCUCCGAAAUAGCUUUAGGGCUAGCCUCGGAAUUGAGAAUGAUGGAGGUAGAGCACUGUUUGGACUAGGGGCCCAUCUCGGGUUACCGAAUUCAGAUAAACUCCGAAUGCCAUUCAUUUAUAUCCGGGAGUCAGACUGCGAGUGAUAAGAUCCGUAGUCGAAAGGGAAACAGCCCAGACCACCAGCUAAGGUCCCAAAAUAUAUGUUAAGUGGAAAAGGAUGUGGGGUUGCACAGACAACUAGGAUGUUGGCUUAGAAGCAGCCACCAUUUAAAGAGUGCGUAAUAGCUCACUAGUCGAGUGACCCUGCGCCGAAAAUGUACCGGGGCUAAACAUAUUACCGAAGCUGUGGACUACACCAUUAGGUGUAGUGGUAGGAGAGCGUUCUAAGGGCGUUGAAGGUCGAUCGUGAGGACGGCUGGAGCGCUUAGAAGUGAGAAUGCCGGUAUGAGUAGCGAAAGACAGGUGAGAAUCCUGUCCACCGUAUGACUAAGGUUUCCUGGGGAAGGCUCGUCCGCCCAGGGUUAGUCGGGACCUAAGCCGAGGCCGAUAGGCGUAGGCGAUGGACAACAGGUUGAUAUUCCUGUACCAGUUGUUUUUGUUUGAGCAAUGGAGGGACGCAGUAGGCUAAGGAAUGCAUGUGAUUGGAAGUGCAUGUCCAAGCAAUGAGUCUUGAGUAGAGUUAAAUGCUUUACUCUUUAAGGACAAGUUGUGACGGGAGCGAAAUAAUAGUAGCGAAGUUCCUGAUGUCACACUGCCAAGAAAAGCUUCUAGUGAGAAAACAACUGCCCGUACCCGUAAACCGACACAGGUAGUCGAGGAGAGUAUCCUAAGGUGAGCGAGCGAACUCUCGUUAAGGAACUCGGCAAAAUGACCCCGUAACUUCGGGAGAAGGGGUGCUGACUUCGGUCAAGCCGCAGUGGAAUAGGCCCAAGCGACUGUUUAUCAAAAACACAGGUCUCUGCAAAAUCGUAAGAUGAAGUAUAGGGGCUGACGCCUGCCCGGUGCUGGAAGGUUAAGAGGAUGGGUUAGCUUCGGCGAAGCUCAGAAUUGAAGCCCCAGUAAACGGCGGCCGUAACUAUAACGGUCCUAAGGUAGCGAAAUUCCUUGUCGGGUAAGUUCCGACCCGCACGAAAGGCGUAACGAUUUGGGCACUGUCUCAACGAGAGACUCGGUGAAAUUUUAGUACCUGUGAAGAUGCAGGUUACCCGCGACAGGACGGAAAGACCCCAUGGAGCUUUACUGUAGUUUGAUAUUGAGUGUUUUGUACCACAUGUACAGGAUAGGUAGGAGCCGAUGAGACCGGAACGCUAGUUUCGGAGGAGGCGCUGGUGGGAUACUACCCUUGUGUUAUGAACCCUCUAACCCGCACCACUAAUCGUGGUGGGAGACAGUGUCAGAUGGGCAGUUUGACUGGGGCGGUCGCCUCCUAAAAGGUAACGGAGGCGCCCAAAGGUUCCCUCAGAAUUGGUUGGAAAUCAUUCGAAGAGUGGUAAAGGCAGAAGGGAGCUUGACUGCGAGACCUACAAGUCGAGCAGGGACGAAAGUCCGGGCUUAGUGAUCCGGUGGUUCCGCAUGGAAGGGCCAUCGCUCAACGGAUAAAAGCUACCCUGGGGAUAACAGGCUUAUCUCCCCAAAGAGUCCACAUCGACGGGGAGGUUUGGCACCUCGAUGUCGGCUCGUCGCAUCCUGGGGCUGUAAGUCGGUCCCAAGGGUUGGGGCUGUUCGCCCAUUAAAGCGGCACGCGAGCUGGGUUCAGAACGUCGUGAGACAGUUCGGUCCCUAUCCGUCGCGGGCGUUGGAAAUUUGAGAGGAGCUGUCCUUAGUACGAGAGGACCGGGAU